CCAUUUUCUGAUUCUCUCUCUCUCUCAGUUAGUUCUAGUUUGUUAAAGUUAACUAAUCAAAAACAUGAUUUCACAACUGAUCACUUACAAAAAGACAGCACACUACACCUCUGUACUUUAUUACAUUCUACUCGUCUUUCUUCCAUUCCUUCUAUGGCUUCUCUUCUAAUUCAACCAAUCAACUUCACUAAAAUGAAAAAGCACACAGUGAUACUAGGUCAUCUUGCUCCAGUGUUUUGUCUCUCAUUUGAUUCAACCGGUCAAAGGAUCAUUACCGGUGCUGAUGAUGAUCUAGCUAAGAUAUGGUGUAGCAGGACUGGUCAGUUGGUGACAACACUAAGAGGACAUCAUGCUGAAAUAACUGACCUCUCAGUGAGUUGGGACAACACACUGAUAGCUACUGGUAGUCUUGAUAAACUGGUGAGGGUUUGGUGUGGAGACACUUCAGCUCCUUUAGCUGUUCUUAGUGGACACUCUGGACACAUCACCUCAGUACAGGGAGUACACUCUUGAUGUUUAUAAGAUGACGUCAGUCGUAUCACAACAUGAUGCCAAGAAGGCAGGGGCUGAAGUUGUGAAACAAGUCAAGUUCCCAUUAUUGAGUGGACUACUCUAUCCUGGACUACAAGCUCUUGAUGAAGAGUAUUUGAAGGUUGAUGCUCAAUUCGGAGGAGAAGAUCAAAGGAAAAUAUUUACAUUUGCAGAGAAA
rnacentral:lncRNA from 1 species